UACGUAGGGUCCGAGCGUUGUCCGGAAUUACUGGGCGUAAAGAGCUCGUAGGUGGUUUGUCGCGUUGUUCGUGAAAACUCACAGCUUAACUGUGGGCGUGCGGGCGAUACGGGCAGACUUGAGUACUGCAGGGGAGACUGGAAUUCCUGGUGUAGCGGUGAAAUGCGCAGAUAUCAGGAGGAACACCGGUGGCGAAGGCGGGUCUCUGGGCCAAAACUGACGCUGAGGAGCGAAAGCGUGGGGAGCGAACAGG
rnacentral:rRNA from 1 species